CGGUGAGAUAAGAGUGCACCCAGAUAGAGGAAGACAUUUAUAGAGUGCUCUUACACGGUGCAACAGCUCACAAAAAGAAGUCAUGGAUUCCCUCUGAUUGGAGGUUGUCUUUAAAAACAGUUCUGCCACAUGGAGAAAAGAGAGGAAAAAUUCCAAUAUUGACAAUGGUCUAGAAGUACCUGUGGAUUCUGGCUAAACUUCAUGAGACUGUGUACCUUUGGUGCCUACUGUGGGCUCAAGCUCAGCCACCUUCUCAGAGCCAUUCAGAAAAUGAAGAGGAAAAAUAUCUAAGGGCUCCAGUCACAGAGAAACUAAGUAUCACGCUUUUCCUUGCUUUUGUGGACUCAUGUUUGUUACAUAGAUUACAGACCUACAGAGGAACACCUUAUUCCUAGCUCUGUGCUGACCAGACCUUUUCGCAGGGUCCCUAACCCUUGCUCACAGCCUUCCCCACUCUCUAGGACCUAUAGCUGUUCUAGAACUAUAAUCCUGGCUUGAGUCUAGGUUCUUAGGUAACACCUCUGUCUUGCUUGUGAUAUAAAAUUUGCAAUAUUUUUGCUAUCCAUUCUAACACCAGGCCUGGGCAGUCCCAACCUGGCCUGUCCAGACACUGAAGAAUUCUCAGUCUUACAAUCUGUGAAAUGUUGUCAUAAAGGUGUUUGACUGGGGUGCCUGGGCGACUCAAUCUGUUGAGCAUCUAGCUCUUGAUUUCAGCUCAGGUCAUGAUCUCAGGGUCAUGAAAUCGAGCCUCACAUCGGGCUCUGCACUGAGGAUGGAGUCUGCUUGAGAUUCUCCCUCUCCUUCUGCCUCUGCCCCACCCCGUGCUUGCAGGCUCUCUCUCUCAAGAUAAAUAAAAUCUUAAAAAAAAAAAAAAAAAAGAUGUUUGAUUGGUACCAAGAAUUUUGUAGUUCCUUAAAUAGUGCUCUAUAUUAUAUAGGUCUUCAGAACUGUAUGCAAAAGAAAUCACAGUGUUCUGCUGUAUUAAAAAAAAAGUGUGCCCCUUCAUCGGACACCUGAUUAUUUGGUCACUCCAAAGGACAUCUUCCCGGUUGACCUACACCACUACAUCUACUUACCAUACGUAGGAGAAGCACUUUGAAAAAGAACUAGCUGUCUUCUCAGAGCUAGCCUUUCAAAUCUGUGAAGUGACGCUGCAUGCCAUCUCUUGAUCUCUCCUGUGUGACUAGACGGGCACCAAAUAAGCAUAGCUCCAUGGGACGCAGUGCUUGAUAUUUUAUUGCUUUGGGUGUUCUCCCCUGUAUCCCUGUUAUACCUGGAAAAGAGAAACACAAGCCUCCGUGCCAGUGUGGAAAUCUGCAAUCACCCAUUUAGCUUCUCUUCCCUGGGAGUGUUUGUUGCACUUAUAUAAAGUUUUGUUUGGGCCAGGAUGUUUCUGCCACAGGACGAGAAACAGUGCAACGUUUGUAUGAAAUGAGCGUAAUACAGGAAACAAAUAAAAUGUCUGAUAGCCGAUUUGACAUAUGUCUGACA